rnacentral:rRNA from 1 species
AGUGAACGCUGGCGGUAGGCCUAACACAUGCAAGUCGAACGGCAGCACAGUAAGAGCUUGCUCUUACGGGUGGCGAGUGGCGGACGGGUGAGGAAUACAUCGGAAUCUACUUUUUCGUGGGGGAUAACGUAGGGAAACUUACGCUAAUACCGCAUACGACCUACGGGUGAAAGCAGGGGAUCUUCGGACCUUGCGCGAUUGAAUGAGCCGAUGUCGGAUUAGCUAGUUGGCGGGGUAAAGGCCCACCAAGGCGACGAUCCGUAGCUGGUCUGAGAGGAUGGUCGGCCCCACUGGAACUGGGACACGGUCCAGACUCCUACGGGAGGCAGCAGUGGGGAAUAUUCGGCAAUGGGCGGAAGCCCGACGCCGCCCAACCGCGUGGGGGAAAAAGGGCUUCGGGUUUUAAAACCCUUUUUUUUGGGAAAAAAAAAUGGGUGGUUAACUCCCCGCUUUUUGACGGUUCCCAAAAAAAAAGCCACGGCCAACUUCGUG